AACCCGUAGAUCCGAACUUGU
rnacentral:ncRNA from 13 species